UGCAAGCGUUGUCCGGAUUUAUUGGGCGUAAAGAGCGUGUAGGCGGCCAGAUAGGUCUGGUGUGAAAACUCGAGGCUCAACCUCGAGAGGUCACUGGAAACCAUUUGGCUAGAGUCCGGAAGAGGAGAGUGGAAUUCCUGGUGUAGCGGUGAAAUGCGCAGAUAUCAGGAAGAACACCUAUGGCGAAGGCAGCUCUCUGGGACGGUACUGACGCUGAGACGCGAAAGCGUGGGGAGCAAACAGG
rnacentral:rRNA from 1 species